rnacentral:misc_RNA from 1 species
UUGGUUUGUUACCGGUGGUUGGCUCUCUGCUUUUGCAACAACUUCCACCUGGCAUUCCUCUUCAGUUUUGCGUAUGGGUCGUACCUUGCGCGCUUUUGGUUUCCUGUGUUGCUUACCUAUUAGACGGUAUUGAUGGAUAAUAUUUGUGUUGUUUUGUCUUUGCGUCGUUCGUCGCGCGAGAUAAAUCUUAAGGCAAAUUCUAUGAUCCACUUUGUUGACGUGCAUGCGUCGAUGUCGUGGCUCAUUGAGUUUUGCUUGGUGUCAUGGAUGCAGAAAAUGAUAUGGGCGAGGGGCUCUGCGGUCCUUCUUUGCCCUUGUUGAACGUUGUUACGUCUCUAAGAUGACUCCCUAGCCCGAAUUGGCUCGUACCACGGGUAGGCGAUGUUGUUGAAGAGAAAUGACGGCGUUCUUGCUUCUCUAAGUCGAACGGCCUUGCCUGCAUGGGCUUGUACCGGCGGGUGGGCUAUGUCGAAGAGGGAUGCUACCUGGUUGAUCCUGCCAGUAGUCAUAUGCUUGUCUCA